UACGUAGGGGGCAAGCGUUGUCCGGAAUCAUUGGGCGUAAAGAGCGCGUAGGCGGCCCAGCAAGUCCGCUCUGAAAGUCAGGGGCUCAACCCCUGAAUGCGGGUGGAUACUACUGGGCUAGAGUCCGGAAGAGGCGAGUGGAAUUCCUGGUGUAGCGGUGAAAUGCGCAGAUAUCAGGAGGAACACCAAUGGCGAAGGCAGCUUGCUGGGACGACACUGACGCUGAGGCGCGAAAGCGUGGGGAGCGAACAGG
rnacentral:rRNA from 1 species